rnacentral:rRNA from 1 species
GCCUACGGGAGGCAGCAGUGGGGAAUAUUGCGCAAUGGGCGAAAGCCUGACGCAGCGACGCCGCGUGAGGGAUGAAGGUCUUCGGAUCGUAAACCUCUGUCAGCAGGGAAGAAGGGUCACUGUGCUAAUCAGCAGUGAAUUGACGGUAACUGCAAAGGAAGCACCGGCUAACUCCGUGCCAGCAGCCGCGGUAAUACGGAGGGUGCGAGCGUUAAUCGGAGUUACUGGGGGUAAAGCGCUCGUAGGAGGUAUGUCAAGUCAAGGGCGAAAUCCCCUCGCUCAACGUGGGAAGUGCGUUUGAAACG